UGUAUUUUUAAUCAAAUAAAUGUAACCUUGAUGAGCAUAAGACACUCUUGUAAAAAACAUAAAAAAAUCGUUCUGAUACCAAACAUUUGACCGGUAGUGUAUAUAUACAUAAAAGGUGCGAGGUGACACUGGCUGUAGUACCGCAGAUCUCGCCACAUGGGUGCGCUGUUGUACUUUCUGCCGCGCCACAGUACAUUCUCUCUCUGCUCUCUCUCUGCUCUGCUCUUGUUUAGUGUGUGCCACACGCCCUCACAGUUUCUGUCACACACUCAGACAACGUGAGUUCAGAAUCCGGUUGUCUUAAGUUAAACGCACUAAGAAACACCUGAACGAACAGAGACGGGCUGCUGUCCGGUAUCUGACUCGGGUCUCACUCUGAGCACAUCAUUGGUUCCGGUGACAUCCGUUACCAUACCGCACUGAUGACAUCUUAUUUAAUCACGCAGCAGACGACAAGACAAGAAACCUGUGCUAUCAGGUGAGAGCCUCGGUUCAACAGCACUAAACAAAGUCUCUCUAUUUGUCCCUGCCACUUUCUCUAUCACCGCCUCUUCACUCCUUUAUAUAAAAAUGGGGGUUUAAAAUUGAAUUUGCAGCAGGUGUGUGUGUGUCUCAAUCACACCUAUAGGGUUUAUGCAAGGCGCGCGCACACACACAGUCAUUAGUACCCAAAUGACCUGCUGUGACAGAACUGCAGCCAGACUCUUGCAUUCUGCUUCCUGCUCACUGGCCCAGAAAUCCAAUCUCCCCCAUCAUCCAUCUCCACGUGUGUGUGUGUGUGUGCGCGCGUGCGCAUGGCAGCGUGUGUGUCUUGAAUGCAGGUGUUAAUGUGUUUUGUGCCUUAUCUCACUCAGCCAAAGACACUACAUAAAAAAUAUGCAGCUCAGAAAGAGCAAGAAAGAAGGGGUACACUGCAGUGUUCACUCUUCUGUUUCACUGGGGACAUCAGGAACAGGUAAAAUUGCUGAACAGCUGGUCCUAGAUCAGAGCGCCACAUCACACCACAGGACAUUUCAUCAGGAGAGACCACAAAGAAUGGGAGUCAGAAAAUCAAAGGCUUGUCAGCUUUUAGAGGACAAUGUCAUUUCUUUCCUAUAAAAACAUUGCUGCCCCCCGUCGUAUGGAUGUGAGACCGAGA
ensembl:lncRNA